UACGUAGGGGCCGAGCGUUGUCCGGAGUACUGGGCGUAAAGCGCGCGCAGGCGGCUCGUCAAGCCUGACGUGAAAGCCCCCGGCUCAACCGGGGAGGGUCGUCGGGGACUGGCGGGCUUGAGGUCGGCAGGGGUUGGUGGAAUUCCCGGUGUAGUGGUGAAAUGCGUAGAGAUCGGGAGGAACACCAGUGGCGAAGGCGGCUCACUGGCCCGAUACUGACGCUGAGGCACGAAAGCGUGGGGAGCAAACAGG
rnacentral:rRNA from 1 species